CCUGCGGCUAUUUAAACAGAUACAGAAUGACCAAAUCUGGAGACACGUAUUUAAAAUAUUCCUUCUAUCUCCCCCUCCUUCUGUGAAAGAUAUCUGAAUGCAUUCGGCCCACAGCCUGUUAAAGUUUUUUUUUUUUUUUUUGAGGCGGCCAGACUUGGAACACUCAGGAAUACAGACAGACGUAGGAAUUGCUUAAAAACAAGAAGUUCUCCCACCCUUGUUGGAGCGAAUGCGCGAGUCUGACAGUGAACCUUUUGGGAAAGAGCCAGCAUUGUAACCGUGCUCGGUGACUUCUCUGGCUUUAUAGGGAACAGAUGUGAGGAUAGCAAGGGGCGCACACGUGAAAUGCCUGGCAGGUACCCCUUUGUGGCUCUACUUACUUCUUGCCAUUCCUCUGCCCUCCAAGUGUAGAGGGGACACCGUGGGCCUUGGCAGUCGCGUUCCGACUCCGGUCUGGUGUAUGGGUUGCACUCGGUCUCUCUGGCUAUUUUGUGUGUUCCGAUCUGACAGCCCACAUGCCUCUGCUGUACGCCUCGGCCACAGGACACAGAGCACUAAGAAGACAGAGAACAUUCACAGUCUGGUGAGACAAGUUUGAGAUCUCAUAUUUUCAGCUCAUCCUUGAAAACCUUUCUUCGAUUUGACUGACCUUGAUGGCUCCCUGGAAUCUCACCUACAUUUUAUGGGAAAUUCAACUCUCCAGAGAGAAGAGCUUUCAGAUAGCUGCGGGACUUGCAACUGUGACUUUCAGCUUUCGCUUUUGAAUGAGGCUCCAAAUGUCUCAAUGGUGGCACUAUUUCCAGAUUUGGGAGCCCUGCAAAGCUAAUCUGCUCAACCUUCACCUACUGGGUUCAAUGAAUAUGAAAAGCUGCCUUCCUGAAACUUUUCCUUCAAAGAGGGAAUGAUCUCCUGGAAUUCAAGCUUCUACAAGGUGGCUACCUGGUGUUUUCCACUUUUGCCGUCUCCUAAAAAGCAUCAUUCAAGCCUUGCCCUUUCAACCCACUGAACACAUAAACAUGCUUUCUCCUUAACUGAACUUAUGGCCACGAUGAACUUGAACUCUGAGAUUCACAGAGGAGAGUUUGUUUUAACAGCUGCUUUUACAAUGAAGCCCUGGAGUUACUACUCUCAAGACCCCUGGUUCUGAUAGGCCAUCUUUUCACUGUCCUCUGCAUUUUCUAAUGCCCAGCUGUCAAGGAACACCCACUGAAGUUUUCCAAAACAAAGGCACGAAACACAAGAAAGGCAAGAGAAUGCUAAUCACCAGAUGCAUGGGCAUCCUAUGGGGGAACCCCUUACAUGUGGAAUACGGUUUUUCUCCCCAAUUUAUUUUUAUAAAUUUAUUGAUUUCUUUGCUAGUUUGUUAUUAAUUGUUAGAGAUGUCCUGUUGCCUGAGGUUGCCCUGUCCGAUAUGGUAGCCACCAGCGACAGGUAGCUAUUUAGAGUAAUUUAAAAAUUACAUUAAAAAUGCAGUUUCCUUGUCACUUAACCAUGUUUCAAGUGCUCAGUAUUAACCACAUGUGACUAGUGGCUUCCAUAAAGGAAGGCAAAAAUAGAGAACAUUUACAUCGCUGCAGAAAGCUACUAGAUUUUUUUGGCCAAGGCAUAAGCUCUUUCUCAUAAGAGAAAGGGGAUGCAGAUCUUGCUAAGAGUGAUGGAUUUCUGGGUUCAGCCUACAUGAGUCAUCUUCCAUACUACCCCUGGACAUGCUUUCCUUGGCUGCCAAUUUUCUAUUUUAUAAAUUUCAGGAAAGAGAGAUUAUGGUUGUUAAAACCAUUCAUGACAAUGAUCCCACUUUAGAGAAAACAACAGCAACAAGCAAAGAAGAUGGUGUGGAGAUCCGCACAUUCCACAUCUUUUAAUUGGUACCCAUUAAAUAACAAAGGGAAAAAGUACCCUCAGACCACAACUCUCCACCUUGUGUGGAGGCCAAGGACCCAGCAGGGAGAAGGCAGAAGAUUAGGUUCUCCACUCAUCCUGGCUCUCAGACCACUGAACUCACAUUUGGGUUCUAAUGGAAUGGUGAUUGGAAGCAUAUUCUCCAAUAGGAGGUUUUUAAAAGUUCUGUGCCAUCAGCCAGGCAGCAUCUGUCAUUUAAAAUGACUGGCCAGUUGCACGUUUAAAAGCAAAGAUAAAAUUGCUAAUUUAUACUUACUGAAUAAACAUCAGCAGUAUCCAUGAAGGUACCUACCCUAAUAGCAAGUUGUAUUUUUAUUUUUAUGGUGGUGGCGAAGCUGCCAGGAAAACCAAAGCAUCAGUUCUUUAAUUACAUUUGUUUAGUAUUGAUUUAAUACUAAAAUUUCUCUUGCUCCCUUAGAACAAAGAGCUCUAACUUGUACACUGCUGUAUCCUUAGCACCUGGAACAGUCCCUGGCCUACAAUAGGCACUUAGAAAGUAUUUGUUAAAAAUUGAUUUUUUUUUUUUAAAGAAACAACCCAGAGUUUUUUUAUUCUGCCCCAACCCCCAACCCCUGGCAUUAAAAUAAAUCUUCCUCAACUGCCAUCACUAAUCGCCAGGAUUCCCUCCUAGCCAAUUAUGCUUGGACUCAACCUCUACCUCCCACUCCACAUUCCAAAGUUUCUAUUUCUUUCCAUUCCAGAAGGGCAACUCCACAACAGGAGUGAGGGAGAGGACCUGGACUCCUCCUCAGAGUCCAAUAACACUCCUAACCCUGCUCCCCCAACCUGUGGACUUUUUAAAUCCAUGAAAAUAGAACCUGUCAAGCUACCACAAAAUAGCAUCAGAAGGCAGGAUCAGUCUUUCAUAGGCAUACAAUCUCUGUAAAUACUGAAAAAAGAUUAUUAAAAGCCUGCUAAGUUUUGUCUCCAGUGAAAUAGAUGCAGGCAAGUAUUUUGAUUGUUCUGAACACAUUAGAGAUGAGUGCUACACAGAACUAAGGUAAACUUUGUAAAUUCGUAUGUCAUAACACUUUGUUCCACAAAAAACUAUCUUAUUUUUUAUACUCCAUACUGAUACAGCCAAAUAAUGUGGCUCUUAUUUUCUAAAGAUGCCAGCAAUAUGUUUAAACAUGUCUUCAUUGUAGUAAAAGUAUCAUAUUUAUAAAAAAUACAUAUGCAUUUAAUGUGAUAUUCCUUAUAGUCAAAAUCUUGAUAUCAUCCUGUUAAUCUGGCUAAAAAUGUAUCUGUAAAAUGAAAGAGAGGAAUAUUUUGCCAUUCCCUAAACAACAGUUGUUUGAAGCUUUUGUAAUUGCUGGUUAUGGGAAUUUACCAAUAACAGGAAUGAAUUUGGAUUUUCUUUUGCUGGAAUCAAAUGGACAAUGUCAUAAUUAGCUAAAUAAUGUUGAGGCUAAAUGAAGUUUGAGUUUUAGGCACAUCCUUUAUGGAAUAUAAACAGGAACCUAAAAGUUCAUUCUGAACAUAGGUUGUUUCUUUCUGCCAAAACAAGAUUAAUAGUCAGUACCCUAACGACAAGGUCCUAUCACUGAAGUAGAUUAUCGGCUAGUCAAAUGGGUUCCUAACAGCACCUCCCUCAUGGGUUAAAACAAGAGGGUUAAUGUGAUGUGUAUUUGCUUAAUUUGGCUUGUUAUACAGUAAACACACAGCAAACGUUAGCUAUUGUUAUCUUCAUUUCCUUUGGAGAAGUUAUCUUAUUUCUCACCUUAUUAAAAAUAAACCCUAACUCAUACAGGGACCCUCCUUACCUUGGUCCUUUCACCCAUGAAUACCAUAAUAACCUAUACUGCAAAAAGGAGGCUCAGGAGGAGGAUGAGGUAUCAAUAGGCCUCCGGGUCAUUUUUAUGAUUUAGGUAUUUUUUGAAAAGGGUAGGCUCUCUUGAAACUUCCAAGGUAGUUGUUGUAGUAUUUUAUUUUCCUUUCAUAAGAAAUGCUUUCUGAAAUGUAUUGCAGUGAACAAAUAACAAAAUUGACAAAUGCUGUAAGCCUUUUACAGUUAUCUGAACACACAGAAUAAAGUGUAAUCAAAUUUGUGCACAUUAGGUUUGCUUUUUCCUGUACCUAGCUGUCUCUUAUGUGUUCAGAACCAUUUCUUCCAAUCACCUUUUUUUGUCUUCUGGCUAUAAUUUAUCAUUAUCUACAAAUUCAAUAAAUGGAGCAUGCAUAUUUCAUAGUUGAGAUUCAAUAAUUCAGGACAACAGUACUAGAAAAGAAAAAAUACCCAACAAAAUAUUAAGCCUCAUAUAUUUUUGUUUAUAAAUCUAAGCAUCAUUUCCAACUCAGAAAUAUGUUUUUAAAGUAUCCCUUUAAAAUACAUACUUGAAGCUGUCUAAUUACACAAAGCUAGAUACUUGGCUACUCAGAUUUGAGGGAGGGGUUGUACAGGUUGGAGGGAAUUUACAAAAUUAAAAUGUAUCUUUUUAAAACCAAAAGAAACAUAUACAUUCAUUUCUAAUCCACAGAGCCUACUUGCCUUUACAGUCUGCUGAUAAACACUGAUUUUUUAAACAUUGUAUAUAAAAUUAAAUAACAUGAAAAAAUAAAUAUGCUUUAUUAUAUAACACAUAGAAAUCUGUACUGCUCAAAAUAUUCAGAAAAUUCUAGGUGUGGCUGCUUAAAACUGUGUUUAGAAAAUAUGGUAGUGAUAUUUACAAUCUUUAUUUCUUCUAGGGAGAGAAGCAGUGAGGUUAUAAAAUACUGGUAUCAAACAUUUUCUCUUCCUACCUACAGAAGCUGCAAACUUUAAUACGAAAAUGAGGUAGACAAAAAUUCAUAAGUUAGCCAGGCAGAAACAAAAGCACAAUUCCUUCAUGAGCUCAUAAAUUCUCAUUACUUGGGUCGACAAGCAUUAUUCCAAUGCACCUAAAGCAAGGCUCAGAGAACAUUUUUAGGUUUGUCAUGAAAAACCCGAACAAGCAAUUUCUCCUAAGGAGAAGCACAGUUUCCAAGGUGAUCAGCAAGCAGGUUGACAGGGCAAUGCACAAAGGAACACCGAAGACCCAUCUUGGAUACAUGGUAUCACCUAGCAGACUUUUAAUCUGUGAUUAUCUAGAUGAAUUAGCUUUCUCUAGAACGCUCUGGAUUUUUAGCCUACUUUCUGCUGUGGUUCGAUAGUAUAGAGGUCUCUUUCCAAUUUACUCCUCAAGUCAUAGGACAUAUGCAUAGACUACUUAAUGUCCUCCUGGGACUGACUGCAGGAGUCAACUGAAAGGCAUGUGAGUUUAAGAACCUUAUUUCAGGCUGGGCAUGGUGGCUCAUGUCUGUAAUCUCAGAACUUUGUGAGGCCAAGGCAGCGGAUCACCUGAAGUCAUGAGUUUGAAACCAGCCUGGCCAACAUGGCGAAACCCCGUCUCUACUAAAAAUACAAAAAUUAGCCAGGUGUGGUGGUGGGCACCUAUAAUCCCGGCUACUUGGGAGGCUGAGGCAUGAGAAUCACUUGAACCCGGGAGGAGGAGGUUGCAGUGAGCCGAGAUCGCACCACUGCACUCCAGCCUGGGCAACAGAGCAACACUCUGUCUCAAAAAAAAAAAGGAACCUUAUUUCAAAAACAAACACUACCAAAAAAAGAGUCCAAAGGCCCAUUUUAAAAAGGAUAGAAAAGGUUGAAUUUCUGGAGGAUAUUUCUCACCAUCAUGAUUCUUAAAUCCGCAAUGACUUGAGCCAGAACCAAUGGCUGAUCUAAGAUGGGGACUUAAACCCUAGGUUCACAGAAGCUUCAUUUUAGGGAUGCUGGAAGCUAUAUUAAUAGUGAUUUGGGGUUUCUUUCCUAAAUACUGCUCUUUAGUAACAAGUGUUGAAGUAGGCAAUCUCCAUUUUGACCUUGGAGAAGGCUAAUUCACACAGCAGCAGUUGCUUCUUGACAUCAUCUAAUGCAUGGGAGUACUGGGAGAGAGAAAGCAACCAGGCAGAAGGAUUAAUUGCUACCCUUGGUCCCUAAUAAAUCUAAGUUGCUUUCUGUUGAAAGCAACAUGUUAGCACCUCCAACAUACUUUUUAUUGUUGUUAGUUUCACCGUCAGUUACAAUGAUGAAGCACCAUGGAAGUGGCUUUAUGGCUAUUAAC
rnacentral:lncRNA from 1 species